rnacentral:rRNA from 1 species
UGGAAACGAUGGCUAAUACCGCAUGAUGCCUACGGGCCAAAGAGGGGGACCUUCGGGCCUCUCGCGUCAGGAUAUGCCUAGGUGGGAUUAGCUAGUUGGUGAGGUAAGGGCUCACCAAGGCGACGAUCCCUAGCUGGUCUGAGAGGAUGAUCAGCCACACUGGAACUGAGACACGGUCCAGACUCCUACGGGAGGCAGCAGUGGGGAAUAUUGCACAAUGGGCGCAAGCCUGAUGCAGCCAUGCCGCGUGUGUGAAGAAGGCCUUCGGG